rnacentral:rRNA from 1 species
GACGAACGCUGGCGGCGCGCCUAACACAUGCAAGUCGAACGGAGCUGAGAGGAGCUUGCUUUUCUUAGCUUAGUGGCGAACGGGUGAGUAACACGUGAGUAACCUGCCCUGGAGUGGGGGACAACAGUUGGAAACGACUGCUAAUACCGCAUAAGCCCACGAUCCGGCAUCGGAUUGAGGGAAAAGGAUUUAUUCGCUUCAGGAUGGACUCGCGUCCAAUUAGCUAGUUGGUGAGGUAACGGCCCACCAAGGCGACGAUUGGUAGCCGGACUGAGAGGUUGAACGGCCACAUUGGGACUGAGACACGGCCCAGACUCCUACGGGAGGCAGCAGUGGGGGAUAUUGCACAAUGGGGGAAACCCUGAUGCAGCGACGCCGCGUGGAGGAAGAAGGUUUUCGGAUUGUAAACUCCUGUCGUUAGGGGCGAUAAUGACGGUACCUAACAAGAAAGCACCGGCUAAGUACGUGCCAGCAGCCGCGGUAAAACGUAGGGUGCAAGCGUUGUCCGGAAUUACUGGGUGUAAAGGGAGCGCAGGCGGACCGGCAAGUUGGAAGUGAAAACUAUGGGCUCAACCCAUAAAUUGCUUUCAAAACUGCUGGCCUUGAGUAGUGCAGAGGUAGGUGGAAUUCCCGGUGUAGCGGUGGAAUGCGUAGAUAUCGGGAGGAACACCAGUGGCGAAGGCGACCUACUGGGUACCAACUGACGCUGAGGCUCGAAAGCAUGGGUAGCAAACAAAAUUAGAUACCCUGGUAGUCCAUGCCGUAAA